rnacentral:rRNA from 1 species
UACGUAGGGCGCAAGCGUUGUCCGGAAUUAUUGGGCGUAAAGAGCUCGUAGGCGGUCUGUCGCGUCUGUUGUGAAAACUCGAGGCUCAACCUCGGGCUUGCAGUGGAUACGGGCAGACUAGAGUGCGGUAGGGGAGACUGGAAUUCCUGGUGUAGCGGUGGAAUGCGCAGAUAUCAGGAGGAACACCGAUGGCGAAGGCGGCUCA